CCUACGGGAGGCUGCAGUGGGGAAUAUUGGACAAUGGGGGGAACCCUGAUCCAGCCAUGCCGCGUGUGUGAAGAAGGCCCUCGGGUUGUAAAGCACUUUCAGUGAGGAAGAACGCCUGGUGGUUAAUACCCAUCAGGUAAGACAUCACUCACAGAAGAAGCACCGGCUAACUCCGUGCCAGCAGCCGCGGUAAUACGGAGGGUGCGAGCGUUAAUCGGAAUUACUGGGCGUAAAGCGCGCGUAGGUGGCUUGAUAAGCCGGUUGUGAAAGCCCCGGGCUCAACCUGGGAACGGCAUCCGGAACUGUCAAGCUAGAGUGCAGGAGAGGAAGGUAGAAUUCCCGGUGUAGCGGUGAAAUGCGUAGAGAUCGGGAGGAAUACCAGUGGCGAAGGCGGCCUUCUGGACUGACACUGACACUGAGGUGCGAAAGCGUGGGUAGCAAACAGGAUUAGAUACCCGUGUAGUC
rnacentral:rRNA from 1 species